CUGGUCUCGAGAAGCUUCCCAUGCUUCAGGAAGUUAGUAAGGGUGGGGUGGCUUGCAGGAUUGGCCUGUUUCCAGGGCCUCCCACACUCAUUGGCCAGAUUGUGAACUUUGUCAGGCUUGUCCCUCCCUGAUACCAAGUAUGUCGAGAACCGAUGGCCCCACCCUCUGGCUGGUGCUGGGCCGGAGGUGGCUAUGGAGGAUUUUGGCAUGCGUGGCCUGUCGCCACCUGGACAGCGUGACCUCAGGGGUUGUCCACUUUACCUUUAUGGUGAGGCCUGUCGGAUGGCUAAGUCCUUGAAACCCUAGAGCUGUGACGUAGAAUAUGUGCUGUCUGUGAGACCGUGUUCCCAGGAGCACUGACUGCAGUUGAGAGAGACCCAUUUUGCUCUCCCUUACCGCCCCCCGCCCCGGGUGCUUUCUGCACAAAGCCUAGAGCCUGGCACUCAAGCCCACCGGUGGCAGCUCCUAGUGACUGGACAUGCCUGGAAGACCCCUCAGCCUUCUGUUUGCAGAACGUUCAUUUCAGGAGCUUCUCCUUCCCACAGACAUCUUACACUUGCUCGACACUGCCACCUGCAGAAGCCUGGCGGGCUCUGGUCACCAUGUGUCUAUCUGAAGGUUGCACUGGCCAGCAUGGGCCUGUCCCAAGCGAGAGGGGAGACACAGUGGACUGAAAGGACUGGUUGAAAGUGGCCAAUCUCUAUCAGCUUAAUUUGGCAGAGAAAAUUUGUAACAACUCUGAGCACAUGCUGGGUGAAGUCACAGCUCAAGGAAAGAUAAAGCUGGGCGGAAGGAGAAAUGGGGACUGAUCUCAAAAUUCCAGAAUUCCCUGUACAUCUGUUCACGUGCUUGUGUCCAGGUGUGACUUGUAAACUGUCUAGUGUUUGCAUUAAAUAAAAUGGCAC
rnacentral:lncRNA from 1 species